UAAGGAUUGGGUCAUGGAACAUAGGCACUCUGACGGGUAAGUCCAUAGAGUUGGCGAAGAUUCUUCAGAAGAAGAGGGUUAACAUAGCGUGUGUCCAGGAGACUAGGUGGAAAUGGUCGAAGGCGAGGAAUGUAGAUGGGUUUAAGCUGUGGUAUUCUGGGGUCGUGAGAGGUAAAAAUGGAGUGGGCAUCUUGGUGGAUAGGGACCUAAGGGAGUCCGUGGUCGAGGUUAGGCGAGUGAAUGAUAG
rnacentral:lncRNA from 1 species